CUGCCGGGACUCCUUCUUUUUUUUUUUUGGCAAGAGAACUUGACAACAAAUGUCCAACAGCUUAAGAGUUUGAAUCUCGAGCCAGUUCGGGGCUUCUUUUUGUUGAAAUUUUUUUAUCUAUUGAUUGUACAAAAAAAUAUGGUGAGAUGGAACAAUAUGGCAGAAGUGUUGGGAUCUGCUCGUCUCUUUCGCCAUCUGUCUAUUGCUGCAGGAUAGUAUAAGUAAGGCGAGGGAUGUGUGGGGUUUUUUUUGGAUGCUGGAUGAUUAACAUGCAAAUUUUCGCGUUUGCUUCCGAGCCGCUGUCCCACUGUUUUGUGUCACCGUGGCCGAUGGCGACAGUUUACACUUCCCCUCUUGUCUUUUUCUUGUCUUUCCAUGGCACACUCUCUUUCUUAACUCUUUUUCUUGGACUCCUCCUCUUUCUGUUCCUUCUCUCGCUACAGCGUAUCCCUCCCUUCCUCUUUCUGUGUCUCUACAACCCCCCCUCCUCUCCUCUCCUCUUCCUCCUCCUCUCGUCCUUUUUCUCUCCUUCCCUCUUGGCAGCGGUGCCAAAGUGGGCAGGCAGACCGAGGCAAACACAGCACAGGGCAGAGCAGAGGGCGAUCCAAAGGCUGGCGAAUUGAUUAUGUGUAUGUUUGUGUUUUGAACUGUCCUGCGUCUGCGUGUUCGCGUGUGUUGACUCUGUUUUUCGGUCGUACGCAACCGCAAGUAAUGUGAGUGUACUGCGUGUCUGUUUUGGAGCUCUUUUUCUUUUUUUUUUGUGUUGUUGUGCACAGUGUGUUUGAUACUGUGGUUUGUGUGUGUGUGUUACAGGGCUGUGUGUGUGAGCAGACGUCCCUCUGUCACCCCGUGUACGGACAGACGCACUCACGCCAGUAGGAGGGGAUUGUGGGAAGGGGGUGUAGCUCUCAGAGGGUGUGCUCUACUCUUCUCUUUUCCCUUCUUCCCGCCAUCACGGCCCUCUUCUCCUUCAGUCCUCCGGCCCAGCCCGCCGCUCACAUACAGGCUCCAGGAAAGUUACCUUUGUGGAUCUUUGAUGAUGAAGCAACGUGGAUGCUGUCCUUGGGGCUGAGGUAGUAGAUUGAAUAGUUGUGGGGUUUUGUGACCUCUUUUUGAGAUAACUAUACAAUCUACUGUCUUUCCCAAGGAGACAGCUGAGUCAGCCACUCGCCGACUGUCAUCUCCAGAUGGGCAAUCGUGCUGUCCAAUCAAAAAAAACACAAAAAAACUCGCUCGCAGCAGUCAACAUAAUGCAUUGGGACAACCUUCUAUUUUUUUCUUUACACAUUUUUCUCCCUAGAACAGGUAAAUGAGUUUUUUCCCCCCCGCCUGAUAGCUGAACCUGUGGUGUGCUCGAUUUGGGGCUCUGACAGGGUGAGGUAGUAGGUUGUAUAGUUUGGUGGGUGGGAUUGCACCCUGCUCAGGUGAUAACUAUACAGUCUAUUGCCUUCCCUGAGGAGCUCACUGGACAUUGAUGAAUAUUCAACUCACUCUCACGGCUCAAGUAUUACAUUUAUUUUCAGACAUCAUUAAAAAAAAAAAAAGGAGCAGGAACAUUUGUGCUUCAAAGGAUUAGUUUAAUUAACAGCAGCUGUUGAACUGACUGAAGCUGUCUAAUGACCUGCUUUAAAAUAUGUACAUCUUAAAUAAAGUCACACUUGCCUCAAAA